UAUUUAAUAUUUAAGAACUCCGGAGCGAAUACUUUACAAACCGUCAUGAGCUUCAUAUAAAAGUGCCAUGUCGUAGCUUGUCAGUCUACGUAAGAACUCCGGAGCGUAUAUUUUGCAAACCAUGUUGCAAAAAUAUUCUAGGCACUCGCGGGAAGUUCUUUCGGCCAUAUGCAAGUACUCGUCGUUCUCGUCUGGAGUGAUACCAGUUGCGAGCUAUUUAAUAGCCGAUGUAACCUUUUGCAACGGCGUAAAGCCCUUCCUACCUCGUGCAUCGAAGACCUCUUGAAACCACGAGUCGUUCGCUUCCACGUCGCUCACAAUUUUUAGAAACAAACGUUUCGACAUACGGAACCUAUGCCGAAAAAUAUUUUCACUGUAUUUCGGGUCUUCGACAAAAUAAUCCACCAUGAGUGUCUCAUGCCCCACCUCACGUUGACGUUCAACAUAUCUCCUUCGGUUAGAUGUGCUCGUGUCUUGAACUUCGGCUUCUUCGAUGAGAUUUUGGAAAAAAGAAUGCUACUAUCGGAUGAAUCGUUGCUACUAUCGGGUGGAAAAAAUAACGGGAGUUCAUCCGCCAUUUUGUUUUGGAAUGAUUGGGUAAAUGUUUGGUAUUUUUUGGUUUGGUUGGGGUAUAAAUUUGAAUGUGUUUGGGUAUGAAUUAUGUUUGGUAUUUAUAAUUAAAUUUUAAAGAGAAUUUUUUUUGUUUUAAACGAUUAUAUAGCCGUUGAGCAUCACCCCCAACGGUCAAAACCUUCAUUUGUCGAUCGGUAACAUGUCACCGAUGUUCAAAACCCACUUUACCGCACCCCUUGCCGCCCACACCUUAUACCUUGAUGGGCAUUUCCACUAAAAUCAAUCACUAGUGAUGGAAUAAUGCUUGAUAACAUGGCAGAACUUGAUUGGAAGUUGUGAGUGAUGAGUGAGCGAUGAGUGAUGGGCGCUCCUACCCCUUAAUAUUUGUUUUUGUAAAGUUAGUGUUGGUUUAAAAUCUUGUAAGAGCAAUAUUACCUGGUAAUUAUGUGUAAAAAUGUUUUUCGAAAAAAUAAAACUUUUUAUAAACAACAAUCAAACGUACCUAAUCUAUUAUAUAUAAUAAAUGAAAGUGAUUUGGGCCACGUGUCACUUAAUUAGGGCAUUCUCAGUUCUGUUUUCCCGCCCAACAGUACCACACUUCCAUCCCUUUUAUAUUCCCUCCGUCUCCUUUUUUUUUUCUUUUCAAAACCCUACAUCUGAAUCUUCUUCUCCUUCUCCUUCUCCUGUACUCUUCUCCCUUCUUAACCAAAGAUCAAACCAAAUCAUCUCAUCAUCAAUCAUUCAGCCUUUGUAAUUUUCAUGUCUGAUUAUAUCACGAAGAGGUAAUAUCUGGCUUUUGUAAUUAUCAUCCCGAGCUAUAGUUGGGAAGAUUCUUUCAUCUUCUUCGUCGGCAAGGUUCUUCCAUUUGAGGGUUGUUGUCAUCGAUGGUCAUCAAAUUUGAAAUCCGCUUACCUGCGGAUAGAUUUCCGCCAUGAACUGGGUUUCAUUUGCUUGAGAUUUGAAUCUUCCGAUUGUUGAAGCCUUUGAAGCCGAUCCUUUUAAAUUUCUAGUUCCCGAUGUAUUAUCUGUUUGUAACAGCAGUGGUUCAGCAUCUACAGUGGAUUCAACAUCAGGUGUUUGCUAUUAUUGUUUGAUGUUGUUUGCUAUUGUUGUUUGAUGUUGUUUGCUAUUAUUGUUUGAUGUUGUUUGCUAUUAUUGUUUGAUGUUGUUUGCUAUUGUUGUCAAGUAAGGUAAAAAUGACCAUUCUAAUUACCUGAAUAUUGCGUAUGAUAUCCUUUUAAUUUUAAUCGCCCAACAAGUUUUUUGGUUUGUUUCUUUCAUAUUUCAUUAUGAUUUGUAUGCUUUUAUGGUUUGAUUUUAUAUUGGUCAUCACAUUAAUGGUGAGUACUCAAGAAUAUUGGAUGGUUUACUUAGUUUUAUUUUGGGUAUUUUUGGAUGAUUUCAUCCAUUUCUUUAGAUAGUUCAUGAUUGAAGAUGCAGUUAAAGGGAUCAUUUGAGUGAAAUGAAUGUUGAUUUAUCAGAAGAUGCAGUUGAAGGUAU